UCUUUGGGAGUCGAUGCUUUCGAGCCUAAAAACUCGGCUUCUGGCAAUUCUGGUGUUAUGAUUACCUCAAAACGUUUGAUGGGAGGUUCCAACUACUUAGCUUGGGCUUCGUCUGUCGAGUUCUGGUGUAAAGUAUUAUGAUUACCUCAGAACCUUUAAUGGGAGGUUCCAACUACUUAGCUUGGGCUUCAUCUCUCGAGUUGUGGUGUAAAGGUCAAGGUGUUUAAGAUCAUCUAAUGAAAGUGUCAAGUGAAGGAGAUGAAAAAGCUAAAGCACAUUGGGAGAAGAUCGAUGCUCAAUUAUGCAGUAUUCUGUGGCGAUCUAUUGAUUCCAAGUUGAUGCCCU
rnacentral:lncRNA from 1 species